CAUUCAGGAUACACCAUUCACCUAUCUUUCAUAUUAAAUGUAACAAAUGUUCAAUUCCUGUAGUAAGUUGAGGGGGAAAAUUUAGUGCUCAGUGGUAGAAUGCCAAUUAAACAGUGUAAAUCUCAAUUUUCCAGGAGAAAAUACGCUGGGAGGAAAGUCUAUUAAAUUUUAACUGUUUUUUCUUCCAGUUAACAUUAUUAUAAUAAUGUACUCUGCAAGUCAGAUACACUGUACGAAAAGUGGAAGAUUUAUUAGAGUUUUGAUCUGUUUUUGUUCGCUUCCGGUUGUAUUGAGAUAUAACUGACCUACAUCUCUGCAUAAGCCUAAGGUAUACAGCAUAAUGCUUUGGCUCAUAAUCACAAAAAUGAUUACUGCAAUCAAAUUUAGGUAACUUUAGAGUUUUGCUAGGUACCACAAAUACAAACAACACAAAAUGGACUGCUUCUCCAAACGCAGAGCCUGGGGGCCAAAAAACAUUGAUCAAUAUGUGUUAUGGCAGAGGAUGACGAGGAAGGGUGGGAUCCAUCUGGGAGGUUAGAGAAAGCAUCCCAAAGAAGUCACAUUUAAACUAAUGACUUCAUUCCAAGCAGUUUCCAGAGGCAACCCCUCCUGUGGGUGCCUGUAAAGAGUCCCCCAUAGUUGGUUGGCUCUGAACAGGCCUGCUCAGUGAGCUUAUCUGUGACUGUCUUUCUGACUCUCUUUCACUUUUGAGCACCAGGACCUCCACACCCCUUCUCCCCAACCAGUGUUCCCUCAGGAAGCCACAGAAGAGGCAAAGGAGGCAGAACGGCAUACCAGGUUGUUUCUAAUCCGAGCAGAUCCACGAAAAGGGGCUUAUCAACUUCUGCAACAUAGCAAACGGGCUAAAGUGACAACAGGUCUAGUACUGGAGAAGUGUAAAAUACAGUCGUCAGGAGUUAAAAUGUAACCACAGAAGCAAGAGGUCAUCGAGAGAAAAGGAACUUGUGAAAGACUUCACAUCUCAAGAUGGAAAUUCAUUUUGUUUGGUUAUUGCAGGUACUUAAUAGCUUGGUAAAGCACCCUUCUUGCCAGCCUUCUCUUGUUAGUAUACCUUCCCACCAGGCUUGGAGGCGGAGAUCGUGGAAUAUGCUGAGGUUCAAGUGUCUACAACACCAGAUAUUUACUGCUCCCCCAGCCCUAAGGCAGUGUAAACCAGGCCAAUUCAGCAGGAUGGCAAAAUGUUUGCAGCAGUAAACUGAUGUCCCCACUGGCCACGAAAGUUGUGGUCCCAGUAAAGAACCUCCUUGCUUGAUGAUUAAUGGAGAAAUUCUGUGUUUCAAACUUCAGUUCUAUGUUGAGUCACAUCCAAUGUAGAGUUUCGCCUAUGUAGUUUACACUCUAGUGAAUUUCAAUGAUCAGACUAGCCUAAACUCUAGUAUUAAAGUGAAUAUGUUGUUCAGUUAGGUAUAAAUAAACACCACUGUGCUCACACACACAUAUGAUAAUCUAUAAUAACCGACUUCCCAGUUUAGUACUAAGAUAGUCGAGGGUCUCCUUAAAGUGUGUACUUGAUUUACUUUGUCACUUUAUCUUAGGGAAUAACUAGUUUGAGUCCUCUUUGGCAGACGGUAAUUUCUGUUCUGUUUUUACUAAAAAGAAAAAAAAAAGCAAUGAAAAAUGGCUCAAUUCCU